rnacentral:rRNA from 1 species
AUUGAACGCUGGCGGCAGGCCUAACACAUGCAAGUCGAGCGAGCGGCGGACGGGUUAGCUAGGACUGGGAAACUGCCUGAUGGAGGGGGUUAGCUAACGGAAACGGUAGCUAAUACCGCACAGCUUAAGAUGUGCCCAGAUGGGAUUAGCUAGUAGGUGGGGUAAUGGCUCACCUAGGCGACGAACCCUAGCUGGUCUGAGAGGAUGACCAGCCACACUGGAACUGAGACACGGUCCAGACUCGUACGGGAGGCAGCAGUGGGGAAUAUUGCACAAUGGGCGCAAGCCUGAUGCAGCCAUGCCGCGUGUGUGAAGAAGGCCUUCGGGUUGUAAAGCACUUUCAGCGGGGAGGCGUUACUCGCAGAAGAAGCACCGGCUAACUCCGUGCCAGCCGCCGCGGUAAUAC